UACGUAGGGUGCAAGCGUUGUCCGGAAUUAUUGGGCGUAAAGAGCUUGUAGGCGGUUUGUCGCGUCUGCUGUGAAAUUUCGGGGCUCAACCCCGAACUUGCAGUGGGUACGGGCAGACUAGAGUGCGGUAGGGGAGACUGGAAUUCCUGGUGUAGCGGUGAAAUGCGCAGAUAUCAGGAGGAACACCGGUGGCGAAGGCGGGGUCUCUGGGCCGUAACUGACGCUGAGGAGCGAAAGCGUGGGGAGCGAACAGG
rnacentral:rRNA from 1 species